CCCAACUUAUCAUGGCCUAUCACCAAACCCUAAUUUCAUAUAUGUCUCUCCCAAAACGACGCCCCUCUCACUCCUAUGCCUAUCUCCAUUUUACUUAACAGAUCACCAUCAACUCCAUCCUAACCUCUGCUCGAUUACUUCCUCUUUCUUCAUGCAAACUCUUCCAUGCACAUCAGGCUCAAAGGUUCCCUCAAAGAUGCAAAUGGCAAUGAACCCAAAAUGGAAGGAGCUAUGACUAGGACAAACCAAACAGGAUAAUCUUGUUCAGUGUUAUAAAACUCGGACUGGUCCAUCCGGCAUUGGAUUUCACUAGUUUAAUCCAAUUUAAUGACAUCACAGCCGGGUUGCUUAUAUUGUCGAUCCAACAAGUAGGUCGGUUCGGUCACAUGCCCGAUUUUCGGAUUAACCAGCUGGGUCGAGUCAAGCUGAAUUUUAUAAUACUUGUCUUGUUAUCUAUCUUUUUUGACAUGUUCGAGAUUGGCAAGGUUUGUUGUUGGAUGACAUUGUGGGUCCUUGCCACUAGUUGUGGCUUUGUCUAGAGGACUGGUUGUCUUGAGGCAAAUUGCCCCCUUUGGGGUAUUUUUACAAACAAUUUCCCAAAAUGGGGUUGUUUU